rnacentral:tRNA from 2 species
GCGAGUAUAGCUCAUUUGGUAGAGCAUUGGUUUGCCAAAUCAAAGGUAGCUGGUUCAAAUCCAGUUACUCGCU